UACGUAGGGUGCAAGCGUUGUCCGGAAUUAUUGGGCGUAAAGAGCUCGUAGGCGGUUUGUCGCGUCGAAUGUGAAAACCCGGGGCUCAACCCCGGGCCUGCAUUCGAUGCGGGCAGACUAGAGUUCGGUAGGGGAGACUGGAAUUCCUGGUGUAGCGGGGAAAUGCGCAGAUAUCAGGAGGAACACCGAUGGCGAAGGCAGGUCUCUGGGCCAUAACUGACGCUGAGAAGCGAAAGCAUGGGGAGC
rnacentral:rRNA from 1 species